rnacentral:rRNA from 1 species
GAUGAACGCUGGCGGCGUGCCUAAUACAUGCAAGUCGAGCGAACAGACGAGGAGCUUGCUCCUCUGACGUUAGCGGCGGACGGGUGAGUAACACGUGGAUAACCUACCUAUAAGACUGGGAUAACUUCGGGAAACCGGAGCUAAUACCGGAUAAUAUAUUGAACCGCAUGGUUCAAUAGUGGAAGACGGUUUUGCUGUCACUUAUAGAUGGAUCCGCGCCGCAUUAGCUAGUUGGUAAGGUAACGGCUUACCAAGGCGACGAUGCGUAGCCGACCUGAGAGGGUGAUCGGCCACACUGGAACUGAGACACGGUCCAGACCCCUACGGGAGGCAGCAGUAGGGAAUCUUCCGCAAUGGGCGAAAGCCUGACGGAGCAACGCCGCGUGAGUGAUGAAGGUCUUCGGAUCGUAAAACUCUGUUAUUAGGGAAGAACAAAUGUGUAAGUAACUAUGCACGUCUUGACGGUACCUAAUCAGAAAGCCACGGCUAACUACGU